GGUUUCUUUUUCCUUUUUCAAUAUUCAUUUCCUUUUUCGGUUUCUAGUUCCUUAUUCGGUUUCUAUUUCCUUAUUGGAUUUUCAUUUCCUUAUUCAAUUUCCAUUUCCUUAUUCGGUUUCUUUUUCCUUAUUCGGUUUCUUUUUCCUUAUUCGGUGUCUUUUUCUUUUUUCAAUUUCGGUUUCUAUUUCCUUAUUCGGUUUCUAUUUCCUUUUUCGAUUUUCAUUUCCUUAUUCGGUUUCCAUUUCCUUUUUCGAUAUUCAAAUUUUGAAAAAUAUUACAAGUCCAAAC
rnacentral:lncRNA from 1 species